AUGAACGCUGGCGGCGUGCCUAAUCCAUGCAAGUCGAGCGAACAGACGAGGAGCUUGCUCCUCUGACGUUAGCGGCGGACGGGUGAGUAACCCGUGGAUAACCUACCUAUAAGACUGGGAUAACUUCGGGAAACCGGAGCUAAUACCGGAUAAUAUAUUGAACCGCAUGGUUCAAUAGUGAAAGACGGUUUUGCUGUCACUUAUAGAUGGAUCCGCGCCGCAUUAGCUAGUUGGUAAGGUAACGGCUUACCAAGGCAACGAUGCGUAGCCGACCUGAGAGGGUGAUCGGCCACACUGGAACUGAGACACGGUCCAGACUCCUACGGGAGGCAGCAGUAGGGAAUCUUCCGCAAUGGGCGAAAGCUUGACGGAGCAACGCCGCGUGAGUGAUGAAGGUCUUCGGAUCGUAAAACUCUGUUAUUAGGGAAGAACAAAUGUGUAAGUAACUAUGCACGUCUUGACGGUACCUAAUCAGAAAGCCACGGCUAACUACGUG
rnacentral:rRNA from 1 species